UUCCGGNUGAUCCNGCCGGAGGUUACUCCUAUCGAGGUUCGACUAAGCCAUGCGAGUCGAAUGCCGCAAGGCAUGGCGUACUGCUCAGUAACACGUGGACAACCUACCCUUAGGACUGGGAUAACCCCGGGAAACUGGGAAUAAUCCCCGAUAGUCCUCGAAGGCUGGAAUGCAUCGAGGGCGAAAGCUCCGGCGCCUAAGGAUGGGUCUGCGGCCUAUCAGGUAGUAGUGGGUGUAGCGUACCUACUAGCCUACGACGGGUACGGGUUGUGAGAGCAAGAGCCCGGAGAUGGAUUCUGAGACACGAAUCCAGGCCCUACGGGGUGCAGCAGGCGCGAAAACUUUACAAUGCUGGCAACAGCGAUAAGGGAACCUCGAGUGCCAGGUUACAAAUCUGGCUGUCGAGAUGCCUAAAAAGCAUUUCAUAGCAAGGGCCGGGCAAGACCGGUGCCAGCCGCCGCGGUAACACCGGCGGCUCGAGUGGUAACCGUUAUUAUUGGGUCUAAAGGGUCUGUAGCCGGCCGGAUAAGUCUCUUGGGAAAUCUGGCAGCUCAACUGUCAGGCUAUCAGGAGAUACUGUCUGGCUCGAGGCCGGGAGAGGUGAGAGGUACUUCA
rnacentral:rRNA from 1 species